UACGGAGGGGGUUAGCGUUGUUCGGAAUUACUGGGCGUAAAGCGCACGUAGGCGGAUCAGAAAGUUGGGGGUGAAAUCCCGGGGCUCAACCCCGGAACUGCCUCCAAAACUCCUGGUCUUGAGUUCGAGAGAGGUGAGUGGAAUUCCGAGUGUAGAGGUGAAAUUCGUAGAUAUUCGGAGGAACACCAGUGGCGAAGGCGGCUCACUGGCUCGAUACUGACGCGUGAGUUCGGAAAGUGUGGGGAGCAAACAGGAUUCAGAUACCCCGUAGUCC
rnacentral:rRNA from 1 species